ACCUCAGCCUGAAUAUCACUACAAUUAUUACCACCACCGGUACCAUAGGUAACGGGGCGGGCUGACGCAUACAGAAACGUGAAAACGAAAAAGCCCGCACCUUACAGUGCGGGCUUUUUUUCG
rfam:Edwardsiella ictaluri 93-146, complete genome.